GGAUGAAGAACGCAGCGAAAUGCGAUAAGUAGUGUGAAUUGCAGAAUUCAGUGAAUCAUCGAAUCUUUGAACGCACAUUGCGCCCUUUGGUAUUCCUUAGGGCAUGCCUGUUCGAGCGUCAUUUAAACCUUCAAGCUAAGCUUGGUGUUGGGUGACUGUCCGCUUCACUGCGGACUCGCCUCAAAAUUAUUGGCGGCCGGUACAUUGGCUUCGAGCGCAGCAGAAACGCGAACUCGGGCCCGUCGUAUUGGCUCCCAGAAGCUAUCUUCACAAUUUUGACCUCGGAUCAGGUAGGGAUACCCGCUGAACUUAAGCAUAUCAAUAAGCGGAGGA
rnacentral:misc_RNA from 1 species